AUUGAACGCUGGCGGCAUGCCUUACACAUGCAAGUCGAACGGUAACAGGUCUUCGGAUGCUGACGAGUGGCGAACGGGGGAGUAAUACAUCGGAACGUGCCUAGUAGUGGGGGAUAACUACUCGAAAGAGUGGCUAAUACCGCAUGAGAUCUACGGAUGAAAGCAGGGGAUCGCAAGGCCUUUUGCUACAAGAGCGGCCGAUGGGAGAUUAGGUAGUUGGUGGGAUAAAAGCUUACCAAGCCGACGAUCUGUCGCUGGUCUGAGAGGACGAUCAGCCACACUGGGACUGAGACACGGCCCAGACUCCUACGGGAGGCAGCAGUGGGGAAUUUUGGACAAUGGGCGAAAGCCUGAUCCAGCAAUGCCGCGUGCAGGAUGAAGGCCUUCGGGUUGUAAACUGCUUUUGUACGGAACGAAAAGCCCCGGGUUAAUACCCUGGGGUCAUGACGGUACCGUAAGAAUAAGCACCGGCUAACUACGUGCCAGCCGCCGCCGUAA
rnacentral:rRNA from 1 species